UGGCAUAUCAAAAAGCGGAGGAAAAGAAACUAACAAGGAUUCCCCUAGUAACGGCGAGUGAAGUGGGAAAAGCUCAACUUUAAAAUCUGGCAGCUUCGCUGUCCGAGUUGUAGUCUCGAGAAGUGUUUUCCGCGCUGGAUCGUGUAUGAGUCUGUUGGAAUACAGCGUCAUAGAGGGUGAGAACCCCGUUCAUGACACGACUACCAGUGCUUUGUGAUACACUUUCGAUGAGUCGAGUUGUUUGGGAAUGCAGCUCAAAAUGGGUGGUAAAUUCCAUCUAAAGCUAAAUAUUGGCGAGAGACCGAUAGCAAACAAGUACCGUGAGGGAAAGAUGAAAAGCACUUUGGAAAGAGAGUUAACAGUACGUGAAAUUGUCGAAAGGGAAACGCUUGAAGUCAGACGUGCGCGGUGCGAUUCAGCCUUGGUUCGCCAGGGUGUACUUCGUACCAUUGCAGGCCAGCAUCGGUUUUGUGAGCCGGAUAAAGGUUAGAGGAAGGUAGCGGUCCAGGCCGUGUUAUAGCCUCUAACUGAAUACGGAUUGUGAGACCGAGGGACGCAGCGCGCCGCAAGGCAAAGGGUCCGCCCUUUUCGCGCUUAGGAUGCUGUAAGCAGACUU
rnacentral:rRNA from 1 species